rnacentral:ribozyme from 1 species
UUUUUUUUUUUUUUUUUUUUUAGUUGACUUUAAUCUAAAUAAAUAGUAACUUUCUCAAGUACGAGAUGGAGAGGUCUAUGCACCUUCUAAC